AUGUCCUUGGGAGUUCACGGAGGUUUGGCAGUGAGAGGACAAAAACAAAACCAGGCAGAGAGGGAGUGUUGCCCAGACUUUCCCAACAUCCCCAGGGUGCUGGUAAACUUUCUGCGGUCCAGACUGUACCAGGGGAGCAGCUUCAGGAUCCAGGCACAUGAAAAGUCACACAAAUGUGCAGUUGGUGGCACUGGAAGACGGCAUGGCCAACAGACUCACAAAUGUCAAAGGAACAGAGGCAGCAUCUGAGCUAGGCAGCCACAGAAAGGUCAUAUUGUUCUGAACAAAACAAGUAACUUUUACUGGACAGAAUACAAUGGCCAGCUACUGUGUUCAGGCAUUGUGUGGGACAAUAGGGAAAUAAAAGAGGAGAACAUUCAGGCCAGGCAUUGAAGAAGUAGGAGCUCCCAGGAAAAACACACAUGAAUCAGAAAUUAAUGGCAAUGUAGAAAGUAUCAGGUGCACACAGAGAAAGACUGGUAGAUGAAAGAAGACAUGAACCCUACCUGGGAAAAUCAGGAAAGGCUUCACAGUGUGCAGGAGCUUCAUGCCAAUUAUAAUUUGCUUUAGCUAAUUUGUGUAAACAAUUAUGUCCAUUUCAACUUUUUAUUUUACUGAUUAAAGACAUUGAUUAGUUGCUCAGUUAAGUUAGCUAGGACUUUUGUACUUUUAUACACAGACAAUCACAUCUUCUUUACCAUUCAUGCGCUCAUUCACUCAUUAAUGCAGAUCACCCAUUUAAUCACAGCCUACUGAACGCCUUUUAGGUGCCACUUCUGAGUUCAACAAGCAGUAAAUCAUAUCAAGUCUCUAACCUCCUGAAAUUUGUCCUGUAUUCAGGCUCACAAAUGGGAAUCAAAAUCUCUCAAAUAAAUAUACAGCUAGAGGACACAAAAACAUAUUCAUGCCCAACCUAGACUUUUAACAAUAGACGCUAUAACCUUGAAAUAAGAAGAAGGACACUGUAGUGUGACAUAAAGGAGGAAGCUGAUGGAACAACACCUGACCUGAGGCCUAAAGCAUGUGCAAGUGUAGGGAAGGGGUACAAGGCCUCAUACCCAAGCAUUACCUUGCUAUAGGCCCUGUAGGUGAAGCAGGGUGCAUACAGGGUAAAGAAAGGAGUGAAAAUUCAAGGAAGGAUGGGUACAAUAAGCACCGGAGAAUUCAGGAAAGUCAGUGUUGUCUGAAUCUUGCAAGCCCUUUUUGGGAUUUCCUUUCUCAGAACAAUGGGAAACUGCAGGGUAUUAAAUGUGGGAGUAAAUAAUUGAUUUCCAGGUGGUUGCAACGUGGUGAACAGAUUCAACGUUUUCAGCUCUUCCCACCAUUCUACUGCAUUUGUCUGAGUUGGGUUCUCUCUUUUAAUCUUCUUGCUAUGAUGCUGACCCUGUUUCUGACAUGGGUGCAAUGUUUUCUAUCUGCCAGGCAUUGUCUUAGCUGCUUUCAAUGGAUUAUUUAAUCUUUUCAAUAAUCUUACAAGUUAGCAUCUUUUCAUGCCCUGUAUCACAGAUGUGGUAAAAUAGGCACUAAAAAUUUGGGUAACUUGUCUAAGGUCACAGA
rnacentral:lncRNA from 1 species